UGCCUGGCGGCUGUAGCGCGGUGGUCCCACCUGACCCCAUGCCGAACUCAGAAGUGAAACGCCGUAGCGCCGAUGGUAGUGUGGGGUCUCCCCAUGCGAGAGUAGGGAACUGCCAGACAU
rnacentral:rRNA from 1 species